GACGAACGCUGGCGGCGUGCUUAACACAUGCAAGUCGAACGGAAAGGCCCUGCUUUUGUGGGGUGCUCGAGUGGCGAACGGGUGAGUAACACGUGAGUAACCUGCCCUUGACUUUGGGGUAACUUCAGGAAACUGGGGCUAAUACCGGAUAGGAGCUCCUGCUGCAUGGUGGGGGUUGGAAAGUUUCGGCGGGUGGGGAUGGACUCGCGGCUUAUCAGCUUGUUGGUGGGGUAGUGGCUUACCAAGGCUUUGACGGGUAGCCGGCCUGAGAGGGUGACCGGCCACAUUGGGACUGAGAUACGGCCCAGACUCCUACGGGAGGCAGAAGUGGGGAAUAUUGCACAAUGGGCGGAAGCCUGAUGCAGCAACGCCGCGUGCGGGAUGACGGCCUUCGGGUUGUAAACCGCUUUCGCCUGUGACGAAGCGUGAGUGACGGUAAUGGGUAAAGAAGCACCGGCUAACUACGUG
rnacentral:rRNA from 1 species